rnacentral:rRNA from 1 species
GACGAACGCUGGCGGCGUGCCUAAUACAUGCAAGUUGAGCGCUGAAGGUUGGUACUUGUACCAACUGGAUGAGCAGCGAACGGGUGAGUAACGCGUGGGGAAUCUGCCUUUGAGCGGGGGACAACAUUUGGAAACGAAUGCUAAUACCGCAUAAAAACUUUAAACACAAGUUUUAAGUUUGAAAGAUGCAAUUGCAUCACUCAAAGAUGAUCCCGCGUUGUAUUAGCUAGUUGGUGAGGUAAAGGCUCACCAAGGCGAUGAUACAUAGCCGACCUGAGAGGGUGAUCGGCCACAUUGGGACUGAGACACGGCCCAAACGCCUACGGGAGGCAGCAGUAGGGAAUCUUCGGCAAUGGACGAAAGUCUGACCGAGCAACGCCGCGUGAGUGAAGAAGGUUUUCGGAUCGUAAAACUCUGUCGGUAGAGAAGAACGUCGGUGAGAGUGGAAAGCUCAUCAAGUGACGGUAACUACCCAGAAAGGGACGGCUAACUACGUG